UUAGAGUUUGAUCCUGGCUCAAGACGAACGCUGGCGGCGUGCCUAACACAUGCAAGUCGAGCGAAUGAAGUUCCUUCGGGAACGGAUUUAGCGGCGGACGGGUGAGUAACACGUGGGCAACCUGCCUCAUAGAGGGGAAUAGCCUUCCGAAAGGGAGAUUAAUACCGCAUAAGAUUGUAGUACCGCAUGGUACAGCAAUUAAAGGAGCAAUCCGCUAUGAGAUGGGCCCGCGGCGCAUUAGCUAGUUGGUGAGGUAACGGCUCACCAAGGCGACGAUGCGUAGCCGACCUGAGAGGGUGAUCGGCCACAUUGGGACUGAGAUACGGCCCAGACUCCUACGGGAGGCAGCAGUGGGGAAUAUUGCACAAUGGACGCAAGUCUGAUGCAGCGACGCCGCGUGGGGGAUGAAGGCUUUCGGGUUGUAAACUCCUUUCAGUACAGAAGAAGCGAAAGUGACGGUAUGUGCAGAAGAAGCACCGGCUAACUACGUGCCAGCAGCCGCGGUAAUACGUAGGGUGCGAGCGUUGUCCGGAAUUAUUGGGCGUAAAGAGCUCGUAGGCGGUUUGUUGCGCCUGCUGUGAAAACCUGGGGCUUAACUUCGGGAUUGCAGUGGGUACGGGCAGACUAGAGUGUGGUAGGGGUAAUUGGAAUUCCUGGUGUAGCGGUGGAAUGCGCAGAUAUCAGGAGGAACACCGAUGGCGAAGGCAGGUUACUGGGCCACCACUGACGCUGAGGAGCGAAAGCGUGGGUAGCGAACAGGAUUAGAUACCCUGGUAGUCCACGCCGUAAACGAUGAGUGCUAAGUAUCGGAGGAUUCGGUGCUUAAGCUAACGCAGUAAGCACUCCGCCUGGGGAGUACGGUCGCAAGACUGAAACUCAAAGGAAUUGACGGGGACUCGCACAAGCGGUGGAGCAUGCGGUUUAAUUCGAUGCAACGCGAAGAACCUUACCAGGUCUUGACA
rnacentral:rRNA from 1 species